rnacentral:rRNA from 1 species
GACGAACGCUGGCGGCGUGCUUAACACAUGCAAGUCGAACGGAAAGGCCCUGCUUUUGUGGGGUGCUCGAGUGGCGAACGGGUGAGUAACACGUGAGUAACCUGCCCUUGACUUUGGGAUAACUUCAGGAAACUGGGGCUAAUACCGGAUAGGAGCUCCUGCUGCAUGGUGGGGGUUGGAAAGUUUCGGCGGUUGGGGAUGGACUCGCGGCUUAUCAGCUUGUUGGUGGGGUAGUGGCUUACCAAGGCUUUGACGGGUAGCCGGCCUGAGAGGGUGACCGGCCACAUUAGGACUGAGAUACGGCGCAGAAUCCUACGGGAGGCAGCAGUGGAGAAUAUUGCACAAUGGGCGGAAGCCUGAUGCAGCAACGCCGCGUGCGGGAUGACGGCCUUCGGGUUGUAAACCGCUUUCGCCUGUGACGAAGCGUGAGUGACGGUAAUGGGUAAAGAAGCACCGGCUAACUACGUG